GCCCGGGUGGUGGAAUGGUAGACACAGAGGACUUAAAAUCCUUUGCUUGAAAGAGCGUGUGGGUUCGAAUCCCAUCCUGGGUACCA
rnacentral:tRNA from 1 species